rnacentral:misc_RNA from 1 species
ACAAACUUGGUCAUUUAGAGGAAGUAAAAGUCGUAACAAGGUCUCCGUAGGUGAACCUGCGGAGGGAUCAUUAACACUUAAUACAAAAACCAAAAACAACUCGGUAACCCCCAUUUCUUUUAUUAUUCACACGAAAAUUUCUUUUUUUCCUGUGUUAUAGUAUUUGGAUAAUUCUAUACUAUUUGGACUAAAUCGUUUAGUGUUUGUUUUGUUAUUUUUAUUUCAAAACACAUUCUAAACAACAAUCGAAAUAAACAUUGUACAACUCUUAACAAUGGAUAUCUCGGCUCUCGCAUCGAUGAAGAACGCAGC